rnacentral:rRNA from 1 species
UUGGGCAAUGGGCGAAAGCCUGACCCAGCAACGCCGCGUGAGGGAUGAAGUAUUUCGGUAUGUAAACCUCGAAAGAAUGGGAAGAAUAAAUGACGGUACCAUUUAUAAGCUCCGGCUAACUACGUGCCAGCAGCCGCGGUAAUACGUAGGCAGCAAGCGUUGUUCGGAGUUACUGGGCGUAAAGAGUGCGUUGGCGGUUUUCUAAGUUCGGGGUGAAAUCUCCCGGCUUAACUGGGAGGGUGCGCCGAAGACUGGGAAGCUGGAGUGUUGGAAAGGCAGGCGGAAUUCCUGGUGUAGCGGUGAAAUGCGUAGAUAUCAGGAGGAACACCGGCGGUGUAGACGGCUUGCUAGACCAUAACUGACGCUGAGGCACGAAAGCGUGGGUAGCAAAC